rnacentral:rRNA from 1 species
AGCAGCCGCGGUAAUUCCAGCUCCAAUAGCGUAUAUUAAAGUUGUUGCAGUUAAAAAGCUCGUAGUUGAAUUUCGGGAUCAAUACGUCGGUCGUGCUUCGGUACGUACUGGCGUCAUUGAUUUCUCCCUUCUGACGAACCAUGAUGUCAUUAACUUGGUGUCAUGGGAAAUCAGGACUGUUACUUUGAAAAAAUUAGAGUGUUUAUAGCAGGCUAACGCUUGAAUACAUUAGCAUGGAAUAAUGAAAUAGGACGUUCGACCCUAUUUUGUUGGUUUCUAGGAUCGACGUAAUGAUUAAUAGGGAUAGUUGGGGGCAUUAGUAUUCAAUUGUCAGAGGUGAAAUUCUUGGAUUUAUUGAAGACUAACUACUGCGAAAGCAUUUGCCAAGGAUGUUUUCAUUAAUCAAGAACGAAAGUUAGGGGAUCGAAGACGAUCAGAUACCGUCGUAGU